UUCCAGUUUUAAUGUUCUUUUUAUGUGUUGUCUUUGCUUUCAUAAAUUGAUACCUUAUUGUUGAUAAAACUGAUUUGGUUUUGCAGACCAUAAUUUUUAAUCAACAAAAUUAAGCUGAAAAUUAAAUUGAGAUUAAGAUUUUUAAGCGAGAAAUUCAAUUGAAAUUGUAAUGAAUUUGCAAAUUUGUCAAGUAUAUCUUACAUUCGUGGUUCCAUAUUCACUUUACCCAUAACUAUUGAAUUUUCUAUCUUGACUGGAUGGAUUUUUAUAGUUUUCAGGAUCUACAGUUGUAAUGCCUUUGAUGGAUAAAACAGAGGACCCAGCUACUCUUAUAGAGCUUCUUUAGCAUUGUAAGUUAAAAUUGCAUAUCAUUUUUUUUGUUUCAUGGAAUUCAUUAUGUUUAAUAGCAUACCAAUUAUGUGAUAACAAUCGUUAUCUUAGCAGUUUCUAACAAUUUGUAAAGUACGGAUAAAUGUGUAGAAGUUUGAAUUAUACAUAUGAAAGUUUCAUCUAUUAUACUCUUUUACUAA